AAAAAAGGUAAGCUACUAAGAGCGAAUGGUGGAUGCCUUGACUGGUAAAGGCGAUGAAGGACGUACUAGACUGCGAUAAGCUACGGGGAGCUGUCAAGAAGCUUUGAUCCGUAGAUUUCCGAAUGGGGCAACCCAAUGUAUAGAGAUAUACAUUACCUAUAUAGGAGCGAACGAGGGGAAUUGAAACAUCUUAGUACCCUCAGGAAAAGAAAUCAAUAGAGAUUGCGUCAGUAGCGGCGAGCGAAAGCGCAAGAGGGCAAACCCAGUGCUUGCACUGGGGGUUGUAGGACUGCAAUGUGCAAGAGGUGAGUUUAGCAGAACAUUCUGGAAAGUAUAGCCAUAGAGGGUGAUAGUCCCGUAUGCGAAAAACAAACCUUAGCUAGCAGUAUCCUGAGUAGGGCGGGACACGAGAAAUCCUGUCUGAAGCUGGGUCGACCACGAUCCAACCCUAAAUACUAAUACCAGAUCGAUAGUGCACAAGUACCGUGAGGGAAAGGUGAAAAGAACUGAGGUGAUCAGAGUGAAAUAGAACCUGAAACCAUUUGCUUACAAUCAUUCAGAGCCCUAUGUAGCAAUACAGGGUGAUGGACUGCCUUUUGCAUAAUGAGCCUGCGAGUUGUGGUGUCUGGCAAGGUUAAGCAAACGCGAAGCCGUAGCGAAAGCGAGUCUGAAUAGGGCGCUUAGUCAGAUGCUGCAGACCCGAAACGAAGUGAUCUAUCCAUGAGCAAGUUGAAGCUAGUGUAAGAACUAGUGGAGGACUGAACCCAUAGGCGUUGAAAAGCCCCGGGAUGACUUGUGGAUAGGGGUGAAAGGCCAAUCAAACUUCGUGAUAGCUGGUUCUCUCCGAAAUAUAUUUAGGUAUAGCGUUGUGUCGUAAUAUAAGGGGGUAGAGCACUGAAUGGGCUAGGGCAUACACCAAUGUACCAAACCCUAUCAAACUCCGAAUACCUUAUAUGUAAUCACAGCAGUCAGGCGGCGAGUGAUAAAAUCCGUCGUCAAGAGGGAAACAACCCAGACUACCAGCUAAGGUCCCUAAAUCUUACUUAAGUGGAAAACGAUGUGAAGUUACUUAAACAACCAGGAGGUUGGCUUAGAAGCAGCCAUCCUUUAAAGAAAGCGUAAUAGCUCACUGGUCUAGUGAUUUUGCGCGGAAAAUAUAACGGGGCUAAAGUAAGUACCGAAGCUGUAGACUUGCGCACAACUUAGAUUAUUUAAGUUUAGAAUAUGAGAAACUAAGUUAUAUGUUUAGUUAUAUUUUUACUGAUUUUUAUAGAGUAAAGAUAGAAAUAAAACUUAGUAAAAUCAGUAAAAAUAUUCUUAGACUAAAGUUAAGUAGUUUAAGUUGUGUGCAAGUGGUAGGAGAGCGUUCUAUUUGCGUCGAAGGUAUACCGGUAAGGAGUGCUGGAGCGAAUAGAAGUGAGCAUGCAGGCAUGAGUAGCGAUAAUUAAUGUGAGAAUCAUUAACGCCGUAAACCCAAGGUUUCCUACGCGAUGCUCGUC
rnacentral:rRNA from 1 species